CAGAGGGUCGUGACAUAGCGUAGACCAGGGAUGCUUAGGUGAGGAGGUGGAACCCACAAAAUCCCAUUGCUUUUCACACUGCAGGGCUGCCCCGUUAUUUCCUUUGCAGGUUGGUGUGCGUGCGUGUGUGCGUGCGUGCCUGAUACACAUGGAGCCGGGCUGCUUCACACAUCUGGUGAGGUCGUUAGAAGGUCAGAUAAAGAAGAGGGCGGAGCUUGCUAACCAAGCUGUUAGAAGAAAUAAUGGGAGAGAACAUUCCUUCAUUUCAGGAGGACACAGAGCAGGCUAGGUCUGCCGCGAAGACUCCUAUAGAGAGAAGAGUAUUCUUAAACUAGAUUCUGAUGGACGCAACACCAGUUGCAUAAUGGUUAUGACAAUCAGUGCCCGGGUUUUUGACCAGGCAUUUCAUGGUCACCCCCACGCUAAUGGAAAGUUUCUGGAUCUUAUUUUGUUAUAGUGAGUGAUUUGUAGUUUUCAGAACGGAGGCCAGGCCAAACGUAUUCCAAAUGAAAAGAGAAUAGGUGUCAAAUGCUAAACCUUUUAUCUUCGUGUUGGCACUGUUGCCAUCCCCGCCCUCUCCCGACAUCCCCGCCCUUGACCAGCAUCUCUGGCCUUGCCCAGCAUUGUCUAUGUAUUGGCACUCUUGCCAUCCCCGCCCUUUCCCAGCAGAGUCUCACUGUGUCACCCCGGCUGGAGUGCAGUGGCGAGAUCUUGGCUCACUGCAGACUCACUGCAACAUCCACCUCCCGGGUUCCAGUGAUUCUCCUGCUUCAGCCUCCUGGGUAGCUGGGAUUACAGGCACGCGCCACCACACCUGGCUAAUUUUUGUAUUUUUAGUAGUCACAGGGUUUCACCAUGUUGGCCAGGCUGGUCUUAAACUCCUGACUUCAGGUGAUCCACCCUCCUCGUCCUCCCAAAGUGCUGGGAUUACAGGCGUGAGCCACCAUGCUCAGCCCUACUCUUGUAUUUUUUUUUUUUUUUUUUUUUGAGAUGGAGUCAGAGUCUCACCCUGUUGCCCAAGGUGGAGUGUAGCGGCUUGAUCUCAGCUCACUGCAACCUCCCCCUCCCAAGUUCAAGCGAUUCUCUGCCUCAGCCUCCCGAAUAGCUGGGAUUACAGGCAUCCGCUGUCAUGCCUGGCUAAUUUUUGUAUUUUUAGUAGAGACGGGGGUUUCACCAUCUUGACCAAACUGGUCUUGAACUCUUGACCUCGUGAUCCAGCUGCCUCGGCCUCUCAGAGUGUUGGGAUUACAGGCGUGAGCCACCAUGCCUGGCCUCUUGGAAUAUUUAAUAAGCUAAAAAAUUCUUAUACACAGGUAGAUUAAUUAGGUAGCCAGGAGUGGCCCCUGAAAGUAUGUCUGGCAAAACCUAGAACUGCAUCCUAGCCAUCACUGUACCUUCUGCCCUCCCUGCUGUCUCCUCUGCCAGUUACAGUUAAAAGGUUGUGGGUGAGGACGCUGGGCAGAGUCCCAGGCGUCUGCUGUCAGCUCCCCAGCCCGGCCUGCCUGCCGAGCCAUCUGGGCGUCCCACGGUGGAGAGUGUGGUGCUUGUGACGCGGUGGUGCUGGGAGCCAUCCUGGUGGCAGAUGUGGGCUCUCACUGCAAGUCAGUGUAAGUCCCCAGGGACUGUCAGCAGCACGUCCUGCUGCCCCUCUCUCUGCAGAAGCCCUGGUAACCUGCGUUUGGAAAAAUCUCUAAGGAUUUCUGAGGAGCUGUCAGGCCAUGUCCUUGUCCACCCUGUGUGGGGCACGGCUUCGACAUGGCUCUGCUCCCGUCGUGGGCUGAGAAGGAGCAGGUGGGGCUGUGCCUUGGAAAGGAGGCCCUCCCGACAUGCCUUUGUGCGAGGUCCCUGUCCAUGCUGUCUCCAUCCCGGAGCCUUACGGCGAUGGGUGGCCACAGAGCCUAUUCCAAGAGUCUGGUUUAGGGCUGGGUCUUCCCAUCUUCACCUCUGAGUCUUAGGCGAUGCGUGACCACGCAGCCCCUUCCAGGAGUCUGGUUUAGGGCUGGGUCUUCCCAUCUUCACCUCUGAGUCUUAGGCGGUGCAUGACCACGCAGCCCCUUCCCGGAGUCUGGUUUAGGGCUGCGUGCUCAAGAGUCUGGUUUGGGGCUGGGUCUUCCCAUCGCCCUGGAGGAGGCUUUUGUCUCAUCUCAUGAUUCACAUUAAACUCUGUGCCAUGAAGCUU
rnacentral:lncRNA from 1 species